CGCGUUUCGUCUUCAUAAGACUCAUCAUUAACAAGCGGUUUCACAUGUACAUCUACUUAUAUUCUUUUAACACCCAUAAGAACGAAUAAAUUUAAAUAAACAAGUAGACACAGGAUGUAAUCAUUAUUCAGUUCGUUACAUCUUCAGUAUAUGACAAUAUUAUAUUGAAAAAUUACUAUACAGGAUCUCGGGGUAAAUUACAAGGACAAGUGCUUCAAUAUUUAAAAG
rnacentral:lncRNA from 1 species